CAGGUGACAUCCUUUCGCCUUGGAGGAACCUCUGGACUGUUUUCUGCCCAGGGCCGUGGCAGUAUACAGCAGAGAUGAGGGGAAAGGACCUAUCAGCAGAGGUGGAGCGACCUGUCCCCUCCAAAGCCAGCUCCUGCGUCUGGAUGGACCCAGGGUGCCAAAACUCUGACAAGAACCAAAGUGGCCAAGCCUGUUAGAGCAGAAAGAACCUUUGGAGUUCCUAUCUAUCAGAAAUUGUGUUCUGUGCUAUGCACAAGUCCUUUGGUAGCAGUUGAGAGAACAAGUUCACAGCCUGAGGAGGAGAGCCUGACAGAAGAGAUGAGUAAGCAGAUAUGAGAAGGCGAAAUUGGAAGGGAGCCCCGGGAAUGCAGAGAUGCCCUCCUCAAACCAGGAUUCCCAGAGAAGUGCGA